GAUGAACGCUGGCGGCGUGCCUAAUACAUGCAAGUCGAGCGAACAGACGAGGAGCUUGCUCCUCUGACGUUAGCGGCGGACGGGUGAGUAACACGUGGAUAACCUACCUAUAAGACUGGGAUAACUUCGGGAAACCGGAGCUAAUACCGGAUAAUAUCUUGAACCGCAUGGUUCAAUAGUGAAAUACGGUUUUGCUGUCACUUAUAGAUGGUUCCGCGCCGCAUUAGCUAGUUGGUAAGGUAACGGCUUACCAAGGCAACGAUGCGUAGCCGACCUGAGAGGGUGAUCCGCCACACUGGAACUGAGACACGGUCCAGAAUCCUACGGGAGGCAGCAGUAGGGAAGCUUCCGCAAUGGGCGAAAGCCUGACGGAGCAACGACGCGUGAGUGAUGAAGGUCUUCGGAUCGUAAAACUCUGUUAUUAGGGAAGAACAAAUGUGUAAGUAACUAUGCACGUCUUGACGGUACCUAAUCAGAAAGCCACGGCUAACUACGUG
rnacentral:rRNA from 1 species